rnacentral:lncRNA from 1 species
AAAGUCAAUUUCCCAAUGUUGGCAAGGCCUUUGUCCCCUUAUCCUCUGCCCAAUGUGUUUGUCAGGUUUGGCUGCCCGAAGGAGCUGGCAUGUUGUACAAAAAUCAACCAGUCAGCAAAGGAAUCAGCUUCUCUCUAUAUACUUGAAUUUGCCUUCGUCCAAGAGUUGUGUUUACAGCUUCCAAGGAGUCUCCCUUUUGAUGCCACUGCUUUUGGUUCCCAGACCACCAAUAGGAGAUCCUGGAUUUCAGGAAGAUUAUGGACUGGGGCUCCAACAGAGCAGCUACCCAGGACUCGGGGAGGGAUGACAAGUCCCAUCCUCUUCAAUCCUCCUCUCUUUGAAGGUAUUUCCAGAACAACAUCAAACAAUAGUGGGGAGAAGCAUCCUUCCUUCACUUCAUUGGAAAAGGUUCUAGAACAUCCUAAUAGCAUGUAAUGAAGGAUGCCUUUUGUUUUUUAUAUAAAUGCUUUAAUGAAAUUAAAGAAAAGGUCCUUCUUUGUCUAGAUGUUGAAGGGCUUUUAGCAUAAAAGAAUGCUAUACUUUGUGAAAGGCUUUUUCUGCACUUACUGAGAGCACACAGGUUGGGAUAUUUUGGCUUUUAAUAUGACUAAUUGUUCUUUUCCCCCUCCAAUGUUGUACCAUCCUUGCAUCCCAAUUUAAAUCCUCCUUGGUCACAAUGAAUGAUUCCUUAGGGUACAAUGCUAGAAUUUGAUAGAUUUUAUUUAAUGUUUUUGAGUUGAUAUUCAUUAAUGACCACUGACCUAUGGUUUUCAUUCUAUGUUAUAUAUUUCAUAAUUUUUAUUAUUUUUAUUAUAUAUUUGUUUCAUAAAAGGAUUCUGGUAGAGUAAUUUCUCUCAAUUUGGGAGGAAGAUGUGUUAAGUAUGGGUACUAAUUGUUCUUUAAAUUUUUGAUAGCAUUCUCCAUUGAAUCCAUUAAGAUCAGGAGUUUUUUCCCCCUUUGGUAGUUCCUUUAUAGUUAGAUCUAUUUCAUUUUCUGAGACUGAGUGAUUUAAGACCUCUAUCUAGCCAUCCUAUUGUUUUGGUAUUUUAUCUUUUCGACAUUAAUCCAUUAUUUCUUUUUUUUUUUCAGUUUUGUUAGCAUGUAACUGCAUAAUAUGUUCUGAUUAUCCUUUUUAUUUCUUCUGGUUUUGUUGUGAUUUCAUCCUGCUCAUUUGUUAUUUUAUUGAUUUGAUUUUCAGCUCUCUUCUUUUUAAUAAGAUUAGUUUAAAGUUAAUCAAUUUCAUUAGUUUAUUCAAAGAAUCAGCUUUUCGUUUCAUUUAUAAUUUCUUAGAGUAAUUUAUGCUUAUUUUAGAUUUAUUUGUUGACUUUCUGAUUUUUACAAAAGUUUAUUAGUUCAUCAAUAUUCUCUUUUCUCUUUUGUUAAUGUAUAUUUGUGCAGUUAUAAAUUUCCCUUUAAUGAUUGCUUUUACUGCAUG